CCUGGUUGAUCCUGCCAGUAGUCAUAUGCUUGUCUCAAAGAUUAAGCCAUGCAUGUGUAAGUAUGAACGAAUUCAGACUGUGAAACUGCGAAUGGCUCAUUAAAUCAGGUUAUAGUUUGUGUUUGAUGGUAAACUACCUACUCGGAUAACCGUAGUAAUUCUAAGAGCUAAAUUACCGGUGCAACAAACCCCCGACUUCUGGAAGGGAUGUGCAUUUAUUAGGAUAAAAGGUCGACGCGGGCGCUGCCCGUUGCUCUGAUGAUUCAUGAUAACUCGACGGAAUCUCGCAUGGCCUUUUUGCUGGCGACGCAUCAUUCAAAUUUCUGCCCUAUCCAACUUUCGAUGGUAGGAUAGUGGCCUACCAUGGUGGUAACCGGGUGACGGAGGAAUUAGGGUUCGAUUCCGGAGAGGGAGCCUGAGAAACGGCUACCACAUCCAAGGAAGGCAGCAGGCGCGCAAAUUACCCCAAUCCUGAUACGGGGAGGGUAGUGACAAUAAAUAACAAUACCGGGCUCUUUCGAGUCUGGGUAAUUGGAAUGAGUACAAUCUAAAUCCCUUAACGAGGAUCCAUGGAGGGCAAGUCUGGUGCCAGCAGCCGCGGUAAUUCCAGCUCCAAUAGCGUAUAUUUAAGUUGUUUGCAGUUAAAAAGCUCGUAGUUGAACCUUGGGAUGGGGUCGCCCGGUCCGCCUUUCGGUGUGCACCGGUCGGCUCGUCCCUUCGGUCGGCGAUACGCUCCUGGUCUUAAUUGGCCGGGUCGUGCCUCCGGCGCUGUUACUUUGAAGAAAUUAGAGUGCCAAAGCAAGCCUACGCACUGUAUACAUUAGCAGGAUAACCAUCAUAAGUAUUUCGAUCCUAUUGUGUUGGCCUUCGGGAUCGGAAUUCGAUCCGAUUGUGGUGGCCUUUCGGGAUCCGAAGUGUAAUGAUUAACAGGGACAGUGGGGGGCAUUCGGUAUUUCAUAGUCAGAGGUGAAAUUCUUGGAUUUAUGAAAGACCGAACAACUGCGAAAGAGCAUUUGCCAAGGAUGUUUUCAUAAUCAAGCGAAAGCAUUUGCCAAGGAUGUUUUCAUUAAUCAAGAAGCGAAAGCAUUUGCCAAGGAUGUUUUCAUUAAUCAAGAACGAAGGUUAGGGGCCUCGAAGCGUAUCAAUUACCGUCCAGUCUCAACCAUAAACGAUUGCCGAACCAGGGAUCAGCGGAUGUUGCUUUUUAGGACUCCCGCUGGCACCUUAUGAGAAAUUCAAAGGUUUUGGGGUUCCGGGGGGGGUAUGGUCGCCAGGCUGAAACUUAAAGGAAUUGACGGAAGGGCACCACCAAGGGCUGAAAACUUAAAGGAAAUUUGACGGAAAGGGCACCACCAGGGAAGUUGGAAGCCUGCCGGCUUAAUUUGACCCAAACACCGGGGAAACUUACCAGGUCCAGGACAUAGUAAGGAUUGACAGACUGAGAGCUUUUCCUUGAUUCUUUGGGUAUUGUUGCAUGGCCGUUCUUAUCUAACUAGCUACGUGGAGGCAUCCCUUCACCGGCCGGCCUCCUUAGAGGGACUAUGGCCGGUUUCGGCCAAGGAAGUUUGAGGCAAUAACAGGUCUGUGAUGCCCUUAGAUGUUCUGGGCCGCACGCGCGCUACACUGAUGUAUUCAACGAGUUCACCCUUGGCCGACAGGGCCGGGGUAAAAUCCUUUGAAUUUCAUCUUGUGAUGGACUAGAUCCAUAUGCAACAAGCUUUACUUUCCUGUCUCGGAAGAGUACGGGUAAUCUUGUAUAAUGUAUGUCGUGCUAGGGAUAGAUCUUUGGAAUUAUAGAUCUUGAACGAGGAAUUCCUAGUAAGCAUAAGUCAUCAGCUUGUGCUGAUUACGUCCCUGCCCUUUGUACACACCGCCCGUCGCCCUACCGAUUGAAUGAUCCGGUGAAGUGUUCGGAUCGCGGCGACGUGGGUGGUUCGCCGCCUGCGACGUCGCGAGAAGUCCACUAAACCUUAUCAUUUAGAGGAAGGAGAAGUCGUAACAAGGUUUCCGUAGGUGAACCUGCGGAAG
rnacentral:rRNA from 1 species